rnacentral:rRNA from 1 species
UGCGUAGGCGGGCUAUCAAGUCAGUGGUGAAAUCCCGCAGCUUAACUGCGGAACUGCCAUUGAAACUAGUAGCCUUGAGUACGGUUGAAGUGGGUGGAAUGUGUCAUGUAGCGGUGAAAUGCAUAGAUAUGACACAGAACGCCGAUAGCGAAGGCAGCUCACUAAGCCGAAACUGACGCUGAGGCACGAAAGCGUGGGGAGCGAACAGGAUUAGAUACCCUGGUAGUCC